rnacentral:lncRNA from 1 species
CUGACCACACAUUGAAAAUUUACCUAAAUCACGUAUAGAAAAGUAUUACCUGCCAAAGUGGUUGGAGAAUGUUGAUAGAAAUGUCUACGGUUGAUCCAGAUUUCAUUCAUUGGCUCAUUUCUGAGCCUCCUUGCCAGUAAAUCUACCAAAAGAAUUUCAGGACGAACAUAUAGCGUUAGUGGUUGGUUUUGAGGAAUUUACAAAAUCCCAUCAAAAAAGUCGAGAUCCGGAGGGUUUGCUAGAUUUUCAUGAGGAGGGUUUGGAUCAUCUAUUUCUAAAUAAUCAACAAUAAAAAUAUCAUUCAUAUCAACAUGUUCAAAACUGUCGUUGGGAGGAUUAGGAUGCUGAAACAACGACAAAGUUGAUGGCUGUAAAGGAAGGUAAAAUGGAUUUGAAAUUAGUAAAUACGAGUUGUUAGAUACUAAUGCCCAAUCAAGAUCAUUGUCCUUUUUUGUUGGAUGAGUUCGGAGUUUUCGUGGGAGGAGUUUAGAGUUUUUGUGGGAAGAGUUUGGAGUUUAGAUUGCUGACUAUCUCAACCUAUUAGCGAGUUUAAAUCUCAAAUUCUAGUGGAGGUUUCAUCUUGCAAAGCAAAUUUACGACCCUUAUUUCAUCUGUGACUCGAGUAGAAUGUUCGUAGCACCAUUAAUAUCAUUUUUGGAGCGAAUGAGAGCUUGUCUCACCGAGUUUCUGUCGAAAACCAUUGAAACCAGUGUGGCAAUGGAGUCCUCAGGCGAAUUGAUUGUGGAUGAUGAUCGAGCAGGAUCGGUUCCCUAGAGCCAAAGGAGAAAGAAUUUUUGAAGCAACCAAACCUACGUUCAGCCUUUUCCUAUCUUUUAAAAUACUGACCAUAAUGUAGGACUAGUUAGUAUAAUCUAUAAUUUUCAAAUUUACAUAAUAAUUCAGUCUUUGUUUAUCGCAUUACAUACAAUCCAUUGAGGUUUAUGGGUAUGGAUUUUGUCUUAUAUUAAAGUUUGACAACUUGUAAUGGUCGAAGAUUUUUGGAAAGGAUCAAGAGCAAGAGCAAGAACAAAAGUUACAGCAAAAUCCAACACUUCUUUUCUUUAUCAUUUUUAACAACACCCGUCCACACCUAUAAAUCAAAGAGGGAAAAGUGAAUUUGCUCAACUCCUCAAUUCAGUACAUAACUCUUAAAAUGACGAGUGAACUUGCCCUAAAUGAGGAGAUUAAGCCUUUUACUAGUAAUGUUGAUGUCAAGAUGUUGAAAUUUAAAAGCAAAUAUGAAGAAUGUAAGCCUUUAGAUUGAUCUUGGAGUCUUUGAUAAAUUUCGUGUGGUGGUUUUACAAACUGAUUCUUAUUGAGACAAGGACGGGCUGCAAAUGAAGUUCACACUUUCUAAUUCGAUGAACUAGUAGAGGAAAAAAUAAAUUCAACGGCCAGUGCAAUAAUAAACCAAAAGCCCCUACAAGAUUCAACCUUCGGUCAUUAUAUUUGAUAUAUUAUGGAAAGGAAUUUAUGUUAGUUAUGAACUGUUGCAGCUGCUCAGUAAGAUAUCUUUAUGAGUUAUCAUCUUGCAGCCUCCCACCACCACAUUGUGAAGUUACAAAAUGUAAUUUGUUACCAAGUCACUUUUGCAUGAUGAAGUGAUUUGCAAAAGCAUCACACAAUCUUGAAAUGACUAACAGAUGGACAAACAAAGGAUCAACAAACACAUUUCUUUAUCCUCGACAGCCAUCCCAUCCAUUACAUUGACCUCAGAAGGCAAAAGUUGGGUGAAGAAUUUGAGAAGAGGCCAUAUUCAAGUUCAGAUAUAAUUCAUCACUAGAUUGAUCAUUUAAGGAACUGCAACAGAUCUGAG